AAAAAAAACUAAAACUUUUUUACGGAUAAAAUUUUUCCUUUAUAUGGAACACAUUAAACUAUGUUUAUUUCAUUUGUAUAAUGUUUGGUGAAUACUCUUUUCAAAAUUAAGAAGUUUCUUUUUAUUUUCUUGAAUUGGAAUUCAAAUUGUAGUUACAAGAGAUAAAUAUCAAUAUGUUAAUAUUUUUUAAAUUAAGGGAUCAAAUUAGGAGGGUCA
rnacentral:lncRNA from 1 species